rnacentral:rRNA from 1 species
AACGAACGCUGGCGGCGUGGAUAAGACAUGCAAGUCGGACGCUGAUUAGAGGGUAGCAAUAUUCUCUAGUUGGAGUGGCGCAAGGGUGCGUAACACGUGGGCAAUCUGCCGUGAAGCCUGGGAUAACUCGCUGGAAGGCGAGCUAAUACCGGAUGAGAAUGUUGGGAGGCAUCUCCUGAUAUUGGAAGCUGGGGACCGCAAGGCCUGGCACUUCACGAUGAGCCCGCGGCCUAUCAGCUAGUUGGUGGGGUAACGGCUCACCAAGGCGAAGACGGGUAGCUGGUCUGAGAGGACGACCAGCCACACUGGAACUGAGACACGGUCCAGACACCUACGGGUGGCAGCAGUCGAGAAUUUUUCACAAUGGGCGCAAGCCUGAUGGAGCGACGCCGCGUGGGGGAUGAAGGGUUUCGAUCCGUAAACCCCUGUCAUUUGCGAACAAACCUUGAGUGCUAACAUCAUUCAAG